UUUGUUGUGCCGAUCAGCUGAAUGUGGGAUCGCAGUUCCAGUUUGACAGGGAACAGGGAAAAGCCCCCCCGGACCGUCCUGAUCUGCCUCCGGGCAGCGCUGCGAGCGAAGGAGCCACGCACACACCGUCACAUUCCCGGGGAGAUGCGCGCCAACACUACGGGAUAAAUGGCUGCAGUUUUCAGGACGCUGCCAGGUGUGACAGCCUGGAGCCACGCCCCUCAGUGCUGAUAGGUGGAGAGAGCUGCUCUGUGAACACACCUUUUCCAGAGCCUGAUAGCUGAGUACCAGAGACAGCCAUCAUACAAGAAGUGGGCGUGAGGAAGGGCGGAGCCAGAGCAUCUCCCCAGCCGAACAGCCAUCCGGGGAGCUGUCUGAGUGACAGCCAAGAUGGGAGGGGCCAAUGCUGGACCACUUUUAACGAUCAGUCCCACCACAAUGGUGUUUUGACCAGAACCAUUACAAACAUAAUAAAAAUUUAUUAGAAAUAGUUCCUUUGAGAUCUACUCCUCAGACUGAUAACACCUCAGCAACUUCUCAGAUCCCACCCCCCCCUCCCGAUGACGUCACUGUCGGGGGGAGGGGCUACGUGGCUGACCUGGGCAGAAGUAUUCCCAUGAGGAAGCCGCCUCCCCCUCCCUCGAUGGAGGCCCAGCGCAGCCAAUCGGCUGGAAGGGAGGGGCCUGGCGGGGG